UACGUAGGGUGCGAGCGUUAAUCGGAAUUACUGGGCGUAAAGCGUGCGCAGGCGGUUCGUUGUGUCUGAUGUGAAAGCCCCGGGCUCAACCUGGGAAUGGCAUUGGAAACUGGCGAGCUAGAGUGUGGCAGAGGGGGGUGGAAUUCCGCGUGUAGCAGUGAAAUGCGUAGAGAUGCGGAGGAACACCGAUGGCGAAGGCAGCUCUCUGGGACGGUACUGACGCUGAGACGCGAAAGCGUGGGGAGCGAACAGG
rnacentral:rRNA from 1 species